UAUUUAUUUAAUUCUUUAUUGCACAAAUAUAUAAUAAAUGCACAAAAGGUGGGCUUAAUGCUAAGAGAAUUUUCUACCAGCCAACCUACAGGAGGUACAGAAAAACUGGUACAAAGAUGUGCAAAAAAAAUAAAAUAAUGAAAGAA